rnacentral:misc_RNA from 1 species
CCAAACUUGGUCAUUUAGAGGAAGUAAAAGUCGUAACAAGGUUUCCGUAGGUGAACCUGCGGAAGGAUCAUUACCGAGUAUCGGGGCCCUCGGGUCCCUACUCCCACCCCAUGUUGACUUUGAAUGUUGCUUUGGCGGACCGGUGGUCACACCGCCGGCCUCGCGCUGGAGAGCGUCCGCCAGAGGUCUUUCAGACGCCGUCGGGUGAGCUCUGAGUCUUUGAGAAAUUGAAUUAAAACUUUCAACAACGGAUCUCUUGGUUCUGGCAUCGAUGAAGAACGCAGC